rnacentral:tRNA from 1 species
UGGCUCAGACAGUAAAGCAUCUGCCUGCAAUGCAGGAGACCCAGGUUCAAUUCCUGG